GAAACAUGCGCAUAUUGGCCGUGGGCACCUCUGUGACACCACGAAGCUUCCAGAGAUGACUGGGGGCAAGCCCACUGAGAUACCAUAUUGGAGAGAAGGGCAGCACCCCUGUAUGGGCAGCUUUGCUGGCUAUGAUGGAAAGAACUUCAGACUGGGAGUCAAAAGAUUUGGAUUCUGGGCUUUGCCAGACCACUCGUUAGUGACAUGACCUUGGGCCAAAGUUUCAGGUUCCACGUGGGAGCAAAAGGACACAGCAGUUCCAGCUCUUAUCUUCUGACAAGUUUCAGGCAUAGUGGAAAGAAACUCUCUAUUAUUUUCACCCCAGAGAAUCCAGGUGUUGAGAGACUUGAUCUGGGGAAGUAAGUUGCAAGCAUGAUGACAAUUUACCUCUGAAUAGAUCAGCUGUUAUCUCAGAAGAACAAGGACAUUCUCCUCCACAACUAUUAUCACAGUCAAUAAAGUUAAAUUGACACGAUAAUAUUGACCAAUAGAUACUCCAUAUUAAUUUUCUCCAAAUGUCCCAAUAAUGUCCUCCUUAAUCUAGGAUCUUAACAAGGGUCACGGGUCAGGUGAUUAGUUAUCCUCCGCCUUUUCUUUCUUUCAUGACCAGGGCAUUUUUAAGGAGUC
rnacentral:lncRNA from 1 species